rnacentral:lncRNA from 1 species
GACCAGACCUGGGGAGCCCGCAGCAGAGGAGGCUCCUGCUCGGGGCGGCGUGGGGACUUCACUCCCACCGGCAGGAGGAGCGGUCGGAGAUCUUCCCUUCUUUGAGGAGUCAGUUGGGGGAGCCUCUCCAGCCCUGGUCGGGCUGCUUGUCGUAGUCGGUGCCGCGCUCGGGAGCCCCUCGGUGCUCCCAGGCGCGACUGCAGCUGUUGGCUGCUCUGUGGUCUGGGGGGCCGCAUCCCCAGAACCGCGGGC